rnacentral:tRNA from 2 species
UCUCUGUUAGUAUAUCGGUUAGUACACGCGCCUGUCAUUUACGUGUGCGCGCGAAAGCGGGGUUCGACUCCCCGACAGAGAG